GUGGCUCCAUGUGGACGUACUACACACUGACACUCACAUACCGUACCCUGACAAAACAAAGGGUUUCUGAUGGGAGGUCAGCCUCUGCCCCCGACAAGCUGCUUCAGGUUUAGGUGUGGUUUCACAUAAAAGGAGCAGCAGGAGACAGCUGCGUCUGUAGAUCUGCACAUCAGAACACAGGUCUGAGGUUUUGAAAUGUUUAGACAAAACCAAGAAGGACAUUGUCCUCAGGGAUGUUACGACCACGGUGGUGGUUGUUGUGACCAAGGCCAUGGACACGGUGGUGGCAGUUGUUGUGGUGGACAUGGUCAUGGACAUGG